CUGGCCGUAAACGAUGGGCACUAACUAGAAGUCUCACCUGUGGGAUUUCUGGUGAAGCAAAUGUGAUAAGUGCCCCGCCUGGGAAGUAUGGUCGCAAGGCUAAAACUCAAAGGAAUUGACGGGGGCUCACACAAGCGGUGGAGCAUGUGGUUCAAUUCGACGCAACGCGAAGAACCUUACCUAGGCUUGACAUGCAGGGAUUAGAUCCGUGAAAGCGGGUCGAUUGCCUUCGGGUGUAACCUGCACAGGUGU
rnacentral:rRNA from 1 species